UUAAUUUUAAAGUAAAUAAAGGUUUAGUACCUUUUGCAUCAUGAUUUAGUGAUUUAUUUUUUUUUAAUUAAAAAUUUUCGAAAUUAUCAGAUUUUAAUAAGCUUAUUUUUACUUUUGGGUAAUGAGUGACAAAGCUUUUUAGGUUAGUGAUAAAUUAAUCGUUGAUAAUUAUAGCUAAUUAGUGAUUUAUAUAUACAGGUUUAAUCUUAUUAUUAAACCUGAUCUUAUUUAAAAUCUUUGUAUUCUUUUAUAAUGGAUUAAAAUUAUCCUUUAUUCUGUAAAAAGAUAUUAACUUAGUUUUAUUUAAUUAAAUAGUUUCAUUAUUUUAAACUGUUAGUUUAUAUUAUGCUAUAAAUAAGUAGAAAAAUAGUAACAUUAUUUCUCGUAGUAGUCUGAACUGUUUAUUAAAAACAUUUUUGGGUUUAAUUUGUACCCAAUAUCCCCUGCUUAGCGUCUUAGUAGUAAGAUGAGUAGCCGCAGUAUUUUGACUGUGCUAAGGUAGCAUAAUUAAUUGCCUCCUAAAUAGAGGAUUGUUUGAAUGGGGGGCUUAGGCUUAACUUAAUAUUGUUAUUUUUUGAAAUUGGUUUUGUUGUUGCAGAAUACAACUUUAUCAUAUAAGACGGAAAGACCCCAGAAGCUUAAAGUUUAUUUUUAUUUCGGGCAAAGCCUCUAGUUUAAGAGGUUUAUAAACCUUUAUUAAUAAGGGUAUUUUAAAGUUACUCUGGGGAUAACUGGGUUAGAUAUAUUUAGAGUUCUUAUCAAAGUAUAUAUUUGCCACCUCGAUGUUGACUUAAAUUUACUUUAUUGUGUAGCAGCUUUAUAAAGUAGGCCUGUUCGGCUUUUAAAUUUUUUCAUGAGUUGAGUUUAAACCGGUGUAAGCCAGGUUGGUUCUUAUCUAUAAGUGUUUCUUCUUAGUACGAAAGGAUUAGGAGAUUAAUAUUUUAUUUACAAUAUUAUUU
rnacentral:rRNA from 1 species